CAACUCUUCAAGAAUUGCUGGCGGGUACCCAAACAUUAUCAAGCCCAUUAGGGGCAAUUACUCAGGCAAAACCUCAUUCGGCGACCAGAAAUUUCACCCGAUACUGGGGUUUCUGCCAAAUCGAAGUCUGACAAAGAGACGCCAGAGAGAAACCGUCAUGGACUGGCUUCUCAUCGGCGGAUGAUUCACGCCUGGGGGCAUUGGCGAUAGUCUGGCUGCCGUCGAUAACUACUCAGUGGCGAUUUCUGGGAGGGAGGAGUUCCAGACGAAGGCCAAGGGUGAGGAGCAGUUAGUUCGGCGAACGGGAUGUCCCGAGCCUCCGUGUCGAUGAAAUUUCGAAAUCUUGAGAGUUCUUUGGGUCUAGAGAAUUUGCAAAGACUUGUCGCCUUCUGCUUCCCAGAAGACGGGACGUCGACGUGAGAUCACCAGGAUCUGGAGAUCGCGACAAGGAAAUCGAAUUCCUUACAAUGAUGCAACAGAAAAGGGCGUGCAGCAGUCAUUAGUUGCCUGAUACUUGCUUAUACAAGAAGGUGGAGUGUCACCGCAAAAUCAACGGAAUCCAUAGCGUUCUGAUGGAUGAUGGAGAGGCACGCUCGGUGGGAUCGGCCAUCGGCUUCUUGAUUCUUGCUUUACAUAGGAGGGUGGAAUACCGCCUCAAGAUCUCCAGAAACAUGAGCCGCGAUGGCAGAAAUGGAACUCCGUCAAAAGAGGGACUGAGACUCUGUGAGAUCUGACAUUAGUAACCUGAUAUUUGCUUAAGAUCUGAUCGUGCAAUGUGCGCGAAGCCGGAAACAGAGCUCCAUCUUUUGAUGGGCUGAUCCAUCAUUCCGUCAAGAUGGAUAGGACUCAGCUGAGAUACCGUUAAUUUCCUUAUUUUUGCUUUAUUUAAGGAAAAAAUAUUAUAGGAUCAUCGGAUUUUGGAACCGUGACGAGAAAAUUGGACAAGCUGGCGGCGAAGGGAAUUAGCUGGCGCUUUGCCGAGGUUCAGUUUGUUGUUGGUCCCUUUUCUUUUUCCGAUUAGUGACCGGAAUUUGUUGUUGGUCCCUUUUCUUUUUCCGAUCAGUGACCGGAAGCGCGUUAAGGAGCACAGAUCUCGUUCCUUGCUCCCGUUCACUGACACGGGCUGAUAGGUCAGAUCCAGAUUUUGAUUCAAGUCACAAGAACUCGCUGCCCUUAGUGCUUAGUGCUCACAACGCGACCACAAAUGGCUUGGUAACCGCCUUCGUCACGGCUGGUCUACACCCGAUUAAUAGUCCACUGAUGAAACCCUUCCAUGGAACGCAUUUCAUGCUUCGCACACGGUUUCGCCAAAAUUAAGGUUCCCGUGUUAUAUUUAAUAUCUGCUAUGGAUGUGUGUCUUCAGUGCUGAUUCAAAAUAAGAAAAACAUGUUGAUUAAAAAAUUAAGGUUCCAAUGUUUUCAUAUAUAUAUAUAUAUAUAUGAAAGGAGCCAUUAUUUUGACAUUUAAACACUUCUGAUCAAAUAAAAAAAAGACACUUUCUAAAUCUUGUAAAUGAGGUGUCUAUGUCUCUAUGUUGGAUGAGGUUUGGCCUUAAUUUGCACCAGCUUAAUCUGGGGGUCUAACUAUACAUGGCUGGUGUCUGCUGAGCUUGUUUAUGUCAUCUGUACUUAUUUGCCUUGUGCAGGUUUUUCUGCCAGUUCCGUCUUCUCUUUGCUGUUUAUCAAUUUGCAGCUUCUUUGUUCCGCCUCCUUGCCUCUGUUACCCAGACAAUGGCUGCUGCAUUCAUGGCUGGCAUUUUUAGUUUACUAGCAAUCUUACUGUUUGAUGGCUGCCUUAUUCCCGGACCUUCCAUGCCAGUUUGGUUGAAAUGGGUAUUUUGGAUAUCUCCGAUGACCUAUGCUCAGAUAGCAAUUUCUGGCAACAAAUUCCUUGCCCCGAGAUGGAGAGAGAUUUCUUCUGGAAAUACCAGUGUGGGGCAUCAAGUUUUGAUGAGCAGAGGUCUUGAUUUCCCUGGUUACUUUUAUUGGAUAUUAGUAGGAGCUCUUUUUGGCUUCACAAUACUUCUCAAUAUUGGAUUCACAUGUUACUGUAAUUGUAUUGAGAUUAUAUCUAAAAAGGAUUGCUAUGUCAUGUUGAAGUUGUUUUAGUUUUGCUAGGUUAGUUGCUUGGAUGGUACAGCUAUAGCUUUCGAAAGGAUUGGCAGUCACUUGCUGUCAUUUUACGUCUUGCAUGAAACUAUUGCAACAUGGUAUCACAGGAAAUGCAAGCUGAAACUUUCAGGAAAAGUAGCUGAAAAUUGAGUACAACAUGACAGAAAUUAAUAGUGAAAAGCUACAUCUAUUUGGUUUAUAACUUGUGUUGUAUCUGUACCUUCUUGCACAUUGAUCACAAGCUGAAUGUAUUGUGAACUGCAGACUUGUAUGGUGAUUUUGCUUUGAUUUAUGCAUAUCCUUUUUUUUUGUCUUAUUACUUAGAGGUUAUGUUUUAGCAAAUAUUAUUUGUGCUAUCUAGCAAGUGCACGGUCUGUAGUUUGGCAUACCAUUCGGAGUCUAACAGAGUCCAAAUCUAUAGUUGUCAUUAUUGUUUAGCUGAUGAUUUUAGAAAACUCGCCUCGUAGGAUUGGUUUAUUUUUUUCUUCCUUAAGGAAAGUGAAGAGCUUAACCCAAGUCAUUUGCCAAACUUGCAAUCAGUUGAGGACCCGACAUCUAUGGGAACUUGUCACCCUUAAACUAACCUUUUGUGUAGAAGGCACUGCUUUUAUGGGAGUAUUGGUGAAAUUUGUUUUUCAACCCAUCUUGUUUUUCAAUUUUCUGUCUUUUUAGGGAGUAUAGUUCCUUCCUUCUUUUGAUAUACCAUUUGAUGUCAUGAAUUUUUAUCGAAGCGAAAAUUUUAAAUUUUGCUUAAAACAUUUUUAAAAUUAUUUUCUCACACAAUGAUAUAUGUCUUUGGUUUAUUCAUGGUACCUUCUCGAGUAAAAGGAGAAAAUUUUAAGUUUUUGUUGUCAAUCAAUGGCUGAGGAAAUAUGAAAAAUUCCUGUAUAUGAGCAGUAAAGAAAAAACUUAUGAAGCUGAGAAAAUUAAGACUAGAAAAUGCUAUCGACUCUGAUGAUCAAGCAUCUACAAGGAUUCAACAAGAAAAUAUCUUGAGAGAAAAGCCACAAUGCUCUGUAAGAUCUUGGCAGGUAGCAAAAUGAGAGUUGAGAGAUGGGCUCGAGGCUUGUGUAGUUGUUCCUCUGAGUCGUUAAUCGAGAGUACCGAGUAGGCAUAUAGAUGAUAUAUGUCUGUCCCGCGAAGAUAACGACUUAUGAACCUUUGGCUCAUCGAAGCCCGUAAGCUGAAACGGGUAGGACAUGUCACAAAGCUACACAUUACCACCGAAGCGGUGGAGCUUCAUAGUAGCCUUUGAGGUGGUGAGGUAUUCCCUCAAAGUUGAAGGUCGGCCUGAAAAAAAAAAAUCAAAAAGCCAAAAAGUCAAAUGCAAAAGAAAGAAAGAAAAGAAGGAAAAACAUGAAAAAAAAAAGAAAUGUGUCUGCCAAGAGAUGAAAAACAUGAAGGUUGAACUCACAGGAAUUGAAUGUGACAAUCUUUCAUAGAUGUGCGAUUUUUUUGGUCAAUAUCUGCUUCUCUUUUUUAUUACCUAAGAUGCCAAGGAUGAUUCCUUUAUGUUCAUAUUUUGGAAAUUGAAAGACAUUCCUUCUAGAGAUUUGAUGGCAUUGAUGCAAAAUGAAUCUUGAUGCUUGUACGGUACUAUGGGUAAAUGAAGGUCAUAUUAUUUGCACAACACAAACACUCUUGCUUAUAAGCUAAUUGAUUGUUUUUAAAUUAUUUCAAAGUGAAAACUUGACAUUUCUUGUUAUAUUUGUAGGCUUCCUAGGCGUAAGAUGAAUUAACCAAUUCUCGUUUUGCCAUUUCUCAUUACGAAACCACUUGUCCAUUCAUGGAAUAGAUGAAAUUUCUCAAAACCCAGUCCAUUCAUGCUGACUGUGAUGAAUUUUCCUUCCUUUCCUCUGUCUCAAGAGAAGUAGAUCAUUAACUGAGUGUAUUCAACAUAACCCAGACUUAGGGUUGAGUCUGUCAUGGAAAGCCUCUUAUCUCUUUUUUAAAAGAAUUAGUCGAUUUUGAAUUGUUACAUUUUUGAAAAGUUCCAUCCAUUUAAGCUGCAUGGGAUUUAUGUCCCUGGGUCUUUCAUGGUUUUAGACCUAGUCUGUCAUGGAAAGCCUCUUAUCUCAUUUUUAAAAGAAUUAGUUGAUUUUGAAUUGUUACAUUUUUGAAAAGUUCCAUCCAUUGAAGAUGCAUGGGGUUUAUGUCCCUGGGUCCUUCAUGGUUUUAGACCUGGUUUCUUCGUGUCUUGUUAUUGUACAUGUCCACCAUAGGUGAAGGUCAUUGGUUUGAUUUGUUUUCCGAAGGAUCACAUUCUGGUUUAGAUUGAGUAUUUUAGUUUUGUUGAGUUGACCCAUUGUUGGUUUGAUUUUAUGGUAGUUCAAUUUUUUCUUUUACUGUCUGCUUUAGUGAUUUUGCAGCACAGUGCUUGUCAUGUUUAUUUUUCACUUUCAUUGUGAAAUGGGAUUGUUUAGGAGCUUUGUUGACUUAGUUGUUUGGUUUUCAUUUUUUCAAUGUAUUUAUUCGAUUCUUUUGAUAAAUAAAAUCUGAUCAAGUUCAUGGGUAUGUUGGUUGUGUCGCCUUCUGAUAUAGUCUUUGAAUUGCAUAUCAUACAUUGCUUAAGUUUGUAGGUUGCUUGGCUGAAUAUCUAUGACGACAGUAUCAUGAUGUCGCGGUUGACCGUGAGCCUGAUCUCCCGCACCGCAGUCCACCUGCCAAAGAACAGCAGCAAGGCGGAGGGUAGAACGUUGUAAUUAACAGCUUGGAAUUUGGAAAUGCUAUCCACUUCUCUUAUAUACAAAAAGGGCUACAUUUACAAAGCCCCUAGGCCAUUGGAAGCCACCACCAAAUAUCUCAUGUCAUCCCUCUCCCGAUUCCUCUUGCACUUCUCCUUGUUAGACCACCACCUUCGUUGAUUGCUGCGAUGAAGGUGUAUGGUUCGAUGUGGCCACUGCCGAUGGGAUCGGUGUCUCGAAGUUGAUGUCCGCUAGUGAGGUUCAAGUCAUUGUCAAUUCCUCGUUGCCACUGGUGGUUGAUGGCACAAUGAUCAACUUCAAUGGUUACUUUUUGCAUCUCCUUGCAGUUCAGGCUUGUUGCGUGCAAGGUUCGAGUAUCUUUUGCUUCUGGAAUACCGUCAGAUUGAGUAUUCGAGGCUUUCAGUUAAAGGAUUAGCUUUAGCAGGAAAAGAAAGAGAGCAUCUUGUUUCACACCAGGCCAAUUUGCCUGCCUUUGAUCAGAUUCUCAAGCUUCACCCAAUUACAACAGUAGCAUAUUGGAGGACAUGCUUUUGGAGAGAGAGAUGCAAAUUUCGUCAAAGAUAUUUUUCUUGGGUGGAAGGACUUGAGCCAGGCAUUACUCCUGUUAAAAAUUUGGGUUAGAAAUAGAAGUUCCAUAUAUAGCCAUGACUGCUUGAAUGGUUUCUUGUUGUCUACCUUACAACAGAUCUUGGUGGGACUUGUGUCAAGCAGUCUAUGAAGCCAAUCCAGAUAUUUCGGGUGACUUUGGACUUCUUAGGAAAUAUGGUGCAGCCUUUUGAGCCUUUGUCUGUAGCAUUUCAGGAUGUAGAGUACUUUGUAGAUGCUCCUCAGGAAAUGAGAAAUCAAAGCGUGACAGGGAAAAAACUUCAGCUACUUAGAGACAUCACUGGUGUAUUCAGGCCUGGCAUUCUUACUGCACUAAUGGGUGUUAGUAGAGCAGGGAAGACAACUCUUAUGGAUGUUCUUUCUGAAAGAAAAACUGGUGGCAUCAUUGAAGGAGAUAUAUGGAUUGGAGGGUAUCCUAAGGUUCAGGAAACAUUUGCUAGGAUAUCUGGGUACUGUGAACAAACCAAUAUUCAUUCUCCAUUCACAAACCGACAUUCAUUCUCCACAUGUUACUGUUGAAGAAUCAGUCAUUUACUCAGCAUGGUUGAGGUUAGCACUGAGAUCGAUGCCAAUACUAAAAGGGCCUACGCAGCUGAUAAGUUUGCAGAUGCUUGCAUGAGGGCGUUGCGGGUGAUGCCGGCAUUGUUGAGUGUGCAUUUGUUGCUUCUGGGGUGACAGAGCUCCCAUUUUUUGCAUCAAAGGUUCGGCUUGGGCGAAGUGGUAUUGAAGAGAUCUAUCCUCUUGGUCCUCUGAAUGAGUUCGAAAGGUUCCUAGAUGUGAUGAAUCGGGUGAAUGGUGGUACGAAAGGACGACCAUAGCCAUAACUGCCGGUGAUUUCUGCAAAGAAAAAGAAGGGAACGACACAUACAGGGGAAAAGGUUUACUCCACUGUACAUGCAUUGUGCCUUUUAAGAGGGAAGAAAGGAUCAAACUGUGGAGGAAGAGUCAGAAGCAGGACAUCUGCUGCUUGAAAUGAGAUUUUAAAUGGCUGUAUGGCAUUAAGUGAUGAAAGGCGACCUCCAUGUUACGGGGCGGAGAUGGAAGAGCAAUAGUUGCUGCUGUUGCGAAAGCGACAAACCUUUUAAAUGCUGGGUCAACGCCAUCACUGCACAGACAGCUCUGGCACCCUAUCUGCAUCUCGGCAGAGCAUCGAGUUGAUGAGAGACAGUGCAAUAUUGUCAUUAUAAGCAUUAUUAUUGUUAUUAUGAAGCCAUGUUUGUUUCUGUUCAGAUCAUAAAUUGCCAGCUUACUCGAAGUGGUCACAUUCUCUUUUGAAUUUUUGCAGAUGUUAAUCGCCAAUCUCUUCUUCAAAAACAUUGGACGGCAGGCAUUGAUUGCGGUCCAAACUUUGAAGGUGCAGUACGAAGCCCUGCAUGGCUUCUUGAUGACGGUAUUCUCGUCUCUGCGAUUUCGUAAAUUCAAUUCAAUGCGGUCGUUUGAUGAGGGGAGACCUAGGCCGACCUCAUUUAUAUGCUCCUGCUGCUCUCCGGUAGCUGUAAUGGAGCCCCAAGGAAUCAAUGAUGCAGCAAAAAUGGAGGAUGUUGAUCUUUAUUUGCAAUGUCCUCAAAGAAGGAAGCUAAAGAAUGGAAAAAGAGAAGUGGGUAGGCGAUUUUCGUAUGGAAUUCAGAGAAUGCGUCAUGAAUUAAUCCUUCAAAAUGAAUGUUUUAACUGGUCGAGUAAAGGAGAAGAAUCAAUCGCCAACCGGUUGGACCGCUAUCUCAUUCAGCAAAAGGAAACCUGAUCGAAUUCUAUGGAAUUCAGGCUACUAAAUUAAACGUCUCAAGAAUUAAGAGCACCAUUCCCAAGUUUCAUACGUAUGAGUAAUAUUUUAGGAGAUCAUGAACUAAAUUGAGUAUGCUU